GAUGAACGCUGGCGGCGUGCCUAAUACAUGCAAGUCGAACGAUCCGCCUUUGGCGGAUAGUGGCGAACGGGUGAGUAACACGUUGGUACCUACCCCGAAGUGGGGAAUAACUGCCCGAAAGGGUGGCUAAUACCGCAUAAUACCGCAAGGUUAAAGCAGUAAUGCGCUUCGGGAGGGGCCUGCGUCCCAUUAGCUAGUUGGUAGGGUAAUGGCCUACCAAGGCGACGAUGGGUAGCUGGAUCGAGAGGUUGACCAGCCACACUGGGACUGAGAUACGGCCCAGACUCCUACGGGAGGCAGUAGUAAGGAAUCUUCCACAAUGGACGAAAGUCUGAUGGAGCAACGCCGCGUGCAGGAUGACGGCCUUCGGGUUGUAAACUGCUUUUAUAUGGGAAGAUUAUGACGGUACCAUAUGAAUAAGGACCGGCUAACUACGUGCCAGCCACCGCGGUAA
rnacentral:rRNA from 1 species